GAAGCUGACCGGGCAGUCGCCGCUACAAAUCGUCGACACUUUCGGGAGACGGGCGGAGGGAGGAAAGUCCAGGCUCCCAUGGGGCAGGGUGCGGGUAACGCACGGGAAACCCGACGCCAGUGCCAGAAGGGCAAACCGCCGAUGUGGCCCACGUAAAGUGGGGAUCCCGGAAGUAGGGUGAAAGGGAAUGCCAGAGCGCACCGCGCGGCCGUAACAGUCCGUGGCGCGGUAAACACCGGGCAAGGCCAAAUGGUUCAUAAGGUGCGGCCCGUACUGAACCCGGGUAGGCUGCUUGAGCCAGUGAGCGAUUGCUGGCCUAGAUGAAUGACUGUCCACGACAGAACCCGGCUUAUCGGUCAGUUUCACCU
rnacentral:RNase_P_RNA from 1 species